GCUACGGGAGGCAGCAGUGAGGAAUAUUGGUCAAUGGACGCAAGUCUGAACCAGCCAUGCCGCGUGCAGGAAGACGGCUCUAUGAGUUGUAAACUGCUUUUGUACGAGGGUAAACGCAGAUACGCGUAUCUGUCUGAAAGUAUCGUACGAAUAAGGAUCGGCUAACUCCGUGCCAGCAGCCGCGGUAAUACGGAGGAUUCAAGCGUUAUCCGGAUUUAUUGGGGUUAAAGGGUGCGUAGGCGGUCGGAUAAGUUAGAGGUGAAAUCCCGAGGCUCAACUUCGGAAUUGCCUCUGAUACUGUUCGGCUAGAGAGUAGUUGCGGUAGGCGGAAGGUAUGGUGUAGCGGUGAAAUGCUUAGAGAUCAUACAGAACACCGAGUGCGAAGGCAGCUUACCAAGCUACUUCUGACGUUGAGGCACGAAAGCGUGGGGAGCGAACAGGAUUAGAUACCCCUGUAGUC
rnacentral:rRNA from 1 species